GCCGAGACUAGAGUCACAUCCUGACAUGGUACUUGUCCUGGUGUGCUAGAGUUCUCGAAGAGAAUCAGCUGGUCUUGAUUCACUGGUAGGGGCCUUUGGUGUCCCUGUUAGUGCCCAGAUCAGAAACAUGU
rnacentral:snoRNA from 1 species